rfam:Verrucomicrobia bacterium GWF2_62_7 gwf2_scaffold_14144, whole genome shotgun sequence.
GGGGGCGAUUGGUUUCGACUCAGGUGGAGAGUCGAGGGUGGCGUGCCGAGGACGUCAGUUGGCCUCGAUAAAAAACUGACAAAAAAAUAAGAGCUAACGAAGAGUUGGCCCUCGCGGCUUAAGCCCCGCGACGUUGCGCCCUUGACGCCUGCUAAGGGGACGUAACGCCAUCAGCAGGUGUAGGCCAAAGCUGGGUCGCCGGGCAGAGGCCGAAAUAAACUCGUGGCGGCUGGUCUGUGGAGUUGCCUGCUUGCCGACGGCUCCGCGGACGAGACUCAAGUGCAAGCUACGCACGUAGUCACGCUCGAUGAUCUGGCUGAGGACGUGGGUUCAAUUCCCACCGCCUCCACCA